GAUUGCUAAGUAGUACCCUAGCCUAAAGAUGAAGCUCCUGGUGAAGCUUGUGAAGGAGCAGCACUUCUCAUUCGAGCCCAACAAUGUGACGAUGCAGCCAAGCAGCACCGUUACAGCCUACGCUGUUCAACCCAAUGCCCCGCUGACUCUUCUCGUCAUUCUUAACUCGAAUUGACAUGACGAGCAAUGUGGGACCAUUUCAGGAUUACGUGUUGAUCGGGACAGAUGUUCAGCUUGUGGGAGUGAACUUAUUUGACGUCCUGUGACACCAACUUUCUUUUUUUAAUUUCCUGAUACUGAACAUUCUUUAAUGAACACUGUCCUUUCUUUAUAACAAUUUAUGGCCUUCUUAUAAGUUAAUAAUAAAUAAAUUAGUCACAUCUAUAUUCUUGUUUUAUAUUCAACUGAUUUUUAUGAGUCCUGCAAACAAGACCAAAAGAAGGCCUGAAGAACAUACUACAAAUGUGACAUAAUAAAAAAAUUUAAAAACCUAGUGAUGUAGCCAUUACAGAUGGCAAGCAUAUUAAACAGACAUUCUGGUAGGUUUGGAGGCGGACUGAGAGUUUUUAAACAACUGUAAUACAAAACUCUAUUUAUGCUCUGAAAUUGUAAAUAAGAUUGAUGUUUAAGAUUCUUGCUUUUUUAAUGGAGUUGAAUCAAUAUGGACAUUGAAUUCCUAAAAAUUAAUAAAUAAAAAGGGACAGACGCUCCUCAUUUAUUUAUGCUUCUUUAAAUGUGACUUCCAUUACGCUUUCAAAAUAGCAGCCCAAAAUCUGUCUUCACAGUUACAGCAAUAUUUUAAUAAUAAUUUGUCAAAUAAAUUAACAAAAACAAACAACAAAAAGAC